GGGCUCCCCACCGUUCCCUUCAGCAGCGCUUGGGGCUAUUGGUCCCGCUAUGCCUCGGAGCUGGAAACUGCCUUCAGUUAUCCUGUAGGCUAUGUGAUCUCCAAGCGUGGGAACCAGAGGGGAGAUAGUGAUAGUAGAUUAGGUGGAUCUUGAGCAGAAGUGAGAAGAUUGCCUGGUGGUUCUUUUUAAAAAGCUCCCGUUUGCUGGGAUUACAGGUGUUUGUCGUGGAACCUGGCUGAUAUUUUUCCAUCCUCAAAUACCAGAAGAGUCUUACUAUGCAGCCUAAACUAGAAUUUGUGAUUCUCAUGCCUCAGCCUCCUGAUGGGAUUACAGGCAAGGGAGCAUGUUACAACUCUACACUCUGCUGAUACUGUUUCAACAAAAAGAACCAAAUUUUUUUUGAAGAUUGUAUUUACUUAUAAAAAUAUAAUAAAAACAGAUGGCUUGCAAGACUGAAUCAAAAUUGACCUUGACGACAGAACACGUUUUUCAUCUUUAUAUUUAAGAUCUACCAGUUCACCAUUAGCAAUCAAUAAAUGCUAAUAAUAUCCAAGAAUCUUAUGUUAUAAUUAUAACACUAUAAGACACAAAACAAAAUUACAAAAGGAAAUUUAUUUCAAAAGCAUAAGGGAACAUUUACAUUUAAACAAGGGGAUAAACAGGUGUCUUGAAGAAGAAAAAACAUAUUUAUGGCAUGAAGAUUUUCAUUCAAAUCUCUGAAGCAAAAGAACAGUAAGUUAUGCACUAUUGCCUAGGCAAGGUAAGGGGAACAAAGGGAAGAGGGAGGAAUGCAGUGAGCUCUGCAUCAGACAUGAGGUCAAGUUAUUUCUGCUGAGUUUACAAAUACACUCAGACAAGAGAAAGGAAAAAUUACACCAUGUUCAAAAUUAUAUUGCUGUAGUCCAAUUUAUUUUUGUACUCAAAAUGGUGUUAGACCAUGGCUGAUGUAUCUGAGGUCCAUACUAGAUGGUCAGUUUUCAACUGGCAAUCCCAUGUUCCUACGUCUGUUCAGAUUCCAAGGGAGCCCAGGUUCAGCUCAAUCAUGUGGAAUGUUCAGAGAUUAUUGCCAGCACUCCAUAGUCAAGCUGACCAACUUGUUGUGCUCACUUGUAUCAUCUAGACUUCUAGACUAUUUUCUCCAUAAAUUAUAUGCAGUAAUUCUCACAAAGGGGUUUUGCUUUUUUCCCAGUAAGAAGUAAUGGUAACGAGGACACCCGUGCAGGAAUCGAAACCUCAAAACAAAACAAAAAAAAACCCAACAACAAAACUACUAGCAAUGACA